GAUGAACGCUGGCGGCGUGCCUAAUACAUGCAAGUCGAGCGAACAGACGAGGAGCUUGCUCCUCUGACGUUAGCGGCGGACGGGUGAGUAACACGUGGAUAACCUACCUAUAAGACUGGGAUAACUUCGGGAAACCGGAGCUAAUACCGGAUAAUAUAUUGAACCGCAUGGUUCAAUAGUGAAAGACGGUUUUGCCGUCACUUAUAGAUGGAUCCGCGCCGCAUUAGCUAGUUGGUAAGGUAACGGCUUACCAAGGCAACGAUGCGUAGCCGACCUGAGAGGGUGAUCGGCCACACUGGAACUGAGACACGGUCCAGACUCCUACGGGAGGCAGCAGUAGGGAAUCUUCCGCAAUGGGCGAAAGCCUGACGGAGCAACACCGCGUGAGUGAUGAAGGUCUUCGGAUCGUAAAACUCUGUUAUUAGGAAAGAACAAAUGUGUAAGUAACUAUGCACGUCUUGACGGUACCUAAUCAGAAAGCCACGGCUAACUACGUG
rnacentral:rRNA from 1 species